GGAGAGGUACCGAAGCGGUCAUAACGGCACCGAUUCGAAAUCGGUUGAGGGCAUUGCGUCCCUACGUGGGUUCGAAUCCCACCCUCUCCGCCA
rnacentral:tRNA from 1 species